rnacentral:misc_RNA from 1 species
AAGUCGUAACAAGGUUUCCGUAGGUGAACCUGCGGAAGGAUCAUUACCUUUCAAUACUGAAAAGGGGGUUGAGGUAGGUUUACCUGCUCUCACCCUCUGCUUCAAGUAUUAUCACCCUUGAUUUUCUGCGUACUUAUGUUUCCUCGGCAGGCUUGCCUGCCGAAUGGACAAUCUUAUAACCUAUUUAAUUUUCAAUCAGCGUCUGAAAUAAUUUAAUAAUUACAA